rnacentral:rRNA from 1 species
GGCAUGUGCACGCUGACCGUGUUUCAACAAUUUCUCACCUGUGAACCUAAUGUAGGAUGCCUCUCCUCCGGGAGGGGGGACCUAUGUCUUCAUAUACAUCUUCGUGUAGAAAGUCUUAGAAUGUUUACUAUCAGAGAGUCGCGACUUCUAGGAGACGCGAAACUCUUGAGAUAAAAGUUAUUACAACUUUCAGCAAUGGAUCUCUUGGCUCUCGCAUCGAUGAAGAACGCAGCGAAAAGCGAUAUGUAAUGUGAAUUGCAGAUCUACAGUGAAUCAUCGAAUCUUUGAACGCACCUUGCGCUCCUCGGUGUUCCGAGGAGCAUGCCUGUUUGAGUGUCAGUAAAUUCUCAACCCCUCUUGAUUUUUUUUGAGGGAGUUUGGAUAGUGGGGGUUGCCGGAGACUAAUAAGACUCGGGCUCUCCUGAAAUGCAUUGGCUUGCGAUAGACUUUCGACUUUGCGCGACAAGGCUUUCGGCGUGAUAAUGAUCGCCGUU